rnacentral:rRNA from 1 species
AUACGAAGGGUGCAAGCGUUACUCGGAAUUACUGGGCGUAAAGCGUGCGUAGGUGGUUGUUUAAGUCUGUCGUGAAAGCCCUGGGCUCAACCUGGGAAUGGCGAUGGAAACUGGGCGACUAGAGUGUGGCAGAGGGUAGUGGAAUUCCUGGUGUAGCAGUGAAAUGCGUAGAGAUCAGGAGGAACAUCCGUGGCGAAGGCGACUGCCUGGGCCAACACUGACACUGAGGCACGAAAGCGUGGGGAGCAAACAGGAUUAGAUACCCUGGUAGUCCACGCCCUAAACGAUGCGAACUGGAUGUCGGGUGCAAUUUGGCACGCAGUAUCGAAGCUAACGCGUUAAGUUCGCCGCCUGGGGAGUACGGUCGCAAGACUUAAACUCAAAGGAAUUGACGGGG